GUGUGUUGAGUGUGAGUGUGUCUCUGUGUGUGUAGGGGUCGAGGUGGGGGGGGUCCGUGUUUGCGAUCUGAACCUUUGGUACCUACAAGGAGGGUGUCUCACCGAACGGUAGCUAAAACCUCACCAGAACCGCGCGGAAGUGAGAAGUCGCGGCCAAAGGCGCCCGCAGAAGCCUCCUCUCUGGGCCGGACCCCAGCCCGAGCGGCCGAAAGGAGCCCCCCGCCCGGAUCACAGAAGUUUACAAGGAAAGGGGAAAUGUCUGAAAUGGAGAUUGCACAAUCCUGUCUUGAAGCAGAAGACUCAGCUAGAGCACAUCUGGAAACACCUGGCACUCCUCAAUAGAAUUCAAAUGCUAUUUUAAAAGAUGUAAAAUCUGAGCUGCAACACUGAACAAAAGCUGUACUUGCCAGCCAGCAAAGAUGCUACCACUCUGCACAACAGAUAAAACCCAUACAUAUAGGGAAGUCAAAAGAGUCUUUAAGCUACAGUGUUUGAGAGGCUGUUUGUCUCUGAUGGAAAAUUAAGAAAAUGGUAAGAGCAGCGUUAGCAUGAGGUGUUCAUUCCAAAUUUGUCACUGCAGUGUGUGUGGCAUUGUGUGCAAAAACAACUCUUCAAGCAAAAACACCUCCAGCAAACUUCCUCCUUCACUUCAAACCUCAUCUUCAAUUACAAUGUGGUUCCUACAAAGUAAAGGGCUGUUGUCCUCUCUUCAGACCUGUGCUGCUUCUGCGCACUAGCCCUGUAGACCAUCAAGGCCUAAAAAUAGCUGCUAGAUUCAAUGAGACAUGAAGCUGACAGAAAUGGCAUCAAGCUAAUUGGCAACAAACUCUAUGAAACCUACUCAGGAAAUCAUAUUUUUAAGCUGAACACCAAGUGGAUUCUUGUUUGAAUAGUCCAUUUCUAAGAAGAUGUGGUUCGAACAUACAGAGCUACAUAAUAUGAGUAAAAUAGGACCUAACAGUAGUGUUCUCCAGCAUUGCUCUGCCUUUCCUUUUCUGGAUGUAACAACAUUACUAAGAAAGGAAGAAAAAGCAAAAAUCUGCUCUCGGGGAGAUUCCAGAAUGUUGGAAAGCCCCAAAUGGAAGUCUCUGCUUUGGUUACAGGACAUAAGGUUUAAUAAAUAAAAAGAUGCUCAUCUGGGAUGCUGCACCAAUUAUCAUGUACUAAAUAAGGUUACCUACUUCACUCUCCAGGUAGAAAUGUCUAUCAUAAGCAUGUGCCACAGAAGGUCUCUCAAGUAUCAUUAUUGGCUGUGUUGAAUUUUGUUUUUAGUUCUCUUUUAUAAGGUCUGUAGUCUUACUUUCAGUGAGGAAGUGUUUUCUCAGGUUCUCAAGAAAGUAACAAAAUGCCAGCAUUGUCAAGGUCACCAUUGCCACUGAAUUAUCUUACUGUCUGAUUAUUCCAUCUUCCUCUGCAUCAUAUUAGCCUGAUGACUACAUUCUAAUUAUUUAAAGCGUUAUGUAAAUCAAAGCAGUAAAUGUAAUUUCUAGUCUUACUAGAUAUCAUGUACAUUAGGUCGAAUAACUCUAGAAAUGUCGUCAUAAUCAUGUCAUGCCUAAUGAUGACCUACUCAGCCCCUGCCAACAUCAUUCAAUUACUCAUUUCAGUAUUGAUUUUUCUCAUGCCUCUCUUCGUGGCAUUUAAACAGCCCUCACAUCUCCCCUUUUACUGAGGUGUAAUGUUGUAUAAUGACAGAGAUGCUUUGCUUCCCAGAUUCAUAAUGUUACACUCUGUUUCAAAUCCUUUUGGAGACAAAUUGGGGAAUC
ensembl:lncRNA ZFHX4-AS1 ZFHX4 antisense RNA 1